UGGGGCCCCAUCAUGGGGCCCAAGAAUGGGGGACUUAGAGAAGGAUGCUGUUCAUGGGUCCAAAGUAGAAAAGGGAAAAGAAAAUAGAGGACCAACAUGGGAGCCUGCCAUGCUGCUGAACCUCAGUAAGUGAUUAUGGGACAAGAAAUUAGCCAACACGAGAUUUUUGUUUAAAAUUUAGUAAAACUUUUAAAGACACAAGGAAUUAAGGUGAAUAUUGAAUAAUUAUGCCAAUACUUUGAUUUUAUAAAAGAGGUUUGCCCUU
rfam:Cavia porcellus supercont2_104 genomic scaffold, whole genome shotgun sequence.